UACGGAGGGGGCCAGCGUUGUUCGGAAUCAUUGGGCGUAAAGGGCGCCUAGGUGGCCAGGCAAGUCGAAUGUGAAAGCCCCCGGCUCAACCGGGGAAUUGCAUCCGAGACUGCCUAGCUCGAGUCCUGGAGAGGGUAGCGGAAUUCCCAGUGUAGCGGUGAAAUGCGUAGAUACUGGGAGGAACACCGGUGGCGAAGGCGGCUACCUGGACAGGUACUGACACUGACGCGCGAAAGCGUGGGGAGCAAACAGG
rnacentral:rRNA from 1 species